CCCUUAGAUGUUCUGGGCCGCACGCGCGCUACACUGAUGCAUUCAACGAGUCUAAAACCUGCUCUGAUAGGGGUGGGUAAUCUUUUGAAUGUGCAUCGUGAUUGGGAUAGAUGAUUGCAAUUUUUCAUCUUCAACGAGGAAUGCCUAGUAAACGCAAGUCAUCAGCUUGCAUUGAUUACGUCCCUGCCCUUUGUACACACCGCCCGUCGCUCCUACCGAUUGAAUGAUCCGAUGAAUAUCAUGGAUUGAGGAUGCAAGCAGGUUCGCCUGUCUUCAUCUUCGCGAAGUGAAGUAAAUCUUAUCAUUUAGAGGAAGGAGAAGUCGUAACA
rnacentral:rRNA from 1 species